CACAUCUGGCCUGGCAUCACCCUGCUCCAGAGAUGACACUCCCAGGUGAAGAUCUCACCUGAAUAAGGAGCAAACAUUGCUCUCCUUCCAGGGCAUGCAGCUCACUCCCAUCCCUACAGCACUUUUCCUGGAUACAGAGAGAUGCUUUCUUGCUCCAGCGAAGGCUCUGCUGGAUUGGCAGAAGCUCUGUGACUGGGGAAUUACCUCUGUGUGCCUCGGCCUUGACUUGGUUUUGAUAUCUUGCUCCAGGCAAUAUGGAAGUACCUGUGAAAUGCAACGGAUAUCACAGUAAACAACGACUUGGAGGCAAGUCCACAGCCAUAAAUCAGCAUUUUUCUGAGUGCCGGGGAGGACGACAAACCUCUGUGUAAGAGCUCUGCACCACGAAUGGAAAUUACUCAGUGCUGACGCCUGAAAGGACACCAGCAGCCCUUGCGCUCUGUGCUGAAUUUUACUUCGAUUUCUACUUCAUCUACCAGGCUGUCUGCCUGGUGGGAGAGCAGUCUAUUACAAAGGGGAGGGUCCUGUUUGGGUCAAAAGAAUGCAUUUUUAGGAAUGCGUGUUUCAAGGCCAAGCCUGCUGGUGAUCUGUCCUUGCAGCCUCUGUUAUGUACUGAAAGAUUUGUUAAGAAGACAUGGAAAAGGGUGAACCAGGAUGGGAGAUGCGAUGAAAAGCCUAUUCGUUAUCUCAGCAACAUGAGACACAUCUCACUAGAUUGGUUUCCGUUCUAAAGAGCAAAACAAAAUCAUUCACUUCUUGCCUUUAAUGGUGGUGUUGAUGGAGACAGCCAACAAUUUCCUCUCCCCAUCGAUUUGGAUUAUGAAUUCUCAUCUGGGUACUGAGUCCAAUUUUUGUAAGACACAUUUAACCCAUGGGACAGUGGAUGUCAGACUGAACUGAGCUCUUCCUCACCGCUGUCCUCUGGUGCUCUGUGCUCCAGUUAGCUGCCUACAAUGGAUUUCAAAUUAAUUACAGCACCACGGAUCAACCUUUCCCAUUUUUUUUUUCUCCCACAUGCUGCCACGUGUCCAUGGACAGCCCACGUUCUCUGGUAAGCUUUCUGGCAGCCUUUGAGCCUCACGCUGAACACAUGAGAGCAUUUAGCGAGCUACAUUUCACUACAAAACGUGUUCCUGGGUAGCGCUCGCUCAUAAGCAUGUCAUUGAUGUUCCCCAAGCGCCAGCCUUGGCAGAUGUGUAAUGGGAGAGAGGCUGCUAACACUCCAGCUUCCCUCCAGGAUGCUGCUUGGGCUCAGGAGGGAGUGAUGCGGCACAUGUGUCAGCCUUGCAAAUGUGUGCUGCUGAAUGCUGGGUGGUCUGCCCUGAGAUGGGAAGAGCUGGGUCCCCAGGAUGAGAAAAGCCACUUGCUUGGCCUGGUGACCUGCUGAAACCUGGCACAGCUGUGGUGAGUGGGUUACGGCAGCUUUCUGAGGAAGGUGAGAUAAAAGGAGGGAGACUGCCAGCAUGGCUCCAUGACAGCUUCUGCUUCUGUGUGAGGUUGAUGAGCUAAAGAGAUCUGGGGAUGGAAGCCCUCAAGACAGUCCUGAUUGGGAGUAUCUCCUCCCACACUUCCAACAUGCUUGUGCCCAGCAGCCAUCACCUGGAGCACUGUGUCCAGAUGUGGAGUCCUCAAUUCAGGAGAGACAUGGACCUGUUGGAUUGCAUCCAGAGGAGGGUCACAGAAAUGCUCCCAUGGAUGGAACACCUCUCCUACAAGGACAGGCUGAGAGAGCUGGAUCUGUUCAGCAUGGAGAGGAGAAGGCUCUGGAGAGACCUGAGAGCUGCCUAAACCAGCAUUUAAAAAGGAUAGAUUAUGAAGAUACAUUCAGAAAAUAAGAAUUCUGCAAUCAUUAUUAUUAUAUAUUAUUCAUAUAAUGGCAACACCCUAAGUUGUCUCAGCACUGUGCAGAAAGAGAGGAAGAUAAAGCCUCCGGCCCAAAGAAACUUCUAAAUGAAUGGAAAUAAGGGAUUACGUUGAAGAGUGAAAUGAAGGCAAAGUGGGUCUGCAAGGGUGGAAAUGAGCUGGAAGCAGAUAGAAAACCUCAGUGCAACCACAUUGGUGGGAUGAGGUGGGAGACACCUGAACUCCAAGGCCCUUCCUGUGCUGCUGGAGGUCUCCCAGCAAGGGCUGGAUGUUCAUCUUGCUGGGGCAUCAUCCAACCGGAGAGCAAAGGCAGUGUCUGCGUGUUUGAAAGAGGGAAGCAGUGACUGGAACAACUACAGGCACAGCAGUGUGAGUGAAGUCCUAUGUGCAGCUGUAGAGCAGGAGGGAAAAAUCAGUGAUUUGGAAGAACAUGGAAAACCAAGGAUAAAUAGAACAUAGGUCAACUCAAGCUAGAAAGCCUUCCUACCAGCCUUGCCUAAAGCUGAGCACUGCUGAUACCACACGGUGCUUUCUGAUGGUGAAGGAGACCCCUCCAGGACCUACAAACCAGAUAAUCUGACAGCAGCGGCCGUCCUCUGCUCCAAGUGCUCUUCCCACCUCUUUGCUUUCAACAAGAGCCCUCCAUGCAAUGAGCCAUGAGACCUGCACCUGGAAAUUAAAGCAAGGCUUGUUUGUACUUUCUCACAAAGGCACCGGGGUCCCUCCCUCUGGCUGCUGCCCCUUGGCACGUGGCUGUGUCAUUCUGUUUCACUAUGACAAACACCACAGUCGGGCAUCACCUCGCUCCAUAGGUACCAGUGUCAUCUGGUACCGUGGUGAGUUCAGCUUGGAGCCUGUUGGCUUAAUUGCAGUGGGGAGGACAGAUGUUGGCAGAGGCAUCUGAUUGAAAAGCAUACAGAAUUUAGCCAGACUGCAGGAUUUCUCUGUGGUACGGACAAAUAUUGACUGGGGCUCCUUCCAACAGCCUCCUCUCUUAAUAGAUGCUCCAACAUCGAACAUGAGCGCUGACAAACUGGUGCAAUUACUCACCACGUUACUAAUCACACCAUUUCCCUCCCCUCGUUAUUGAUUUUGGAAACAUUGUUUGAAAAGAGAGAGAGAGAGAGAGAGAAAGAAAAAAAAAAAAAGGCCUUCAUUGUGUAAUACCUAAAUGGAAAUUUAAUCCCCCUUCCAUCCACCAUUCCCUCUCUGCAUUUAUUUUCAAGACACAUUUUGAUUGUUUUGUUUACUGCUCACUGUGUUUAUGAUUAUUUUAAUAGAAAGUGUUAUGCGAUACAUUUUGUAUGAAGGUCACUGCGUAGACAUUCUCAAUAAAUGCUUUAUUCUAGCAGCACUGA
ensembl:lncRNA